UUGAACGCUGGCGGCAGGCCUAACACAUGCAAGUCGAGCGGAUGAAGGGAGCUUGCUCCUGGAUUCAGCGGCGGACGGGUGAGUAAUGCCUAGGAAUCUGCCUGGUAGUGGGGGAUAACGUCCGGAAACGGGCGCUAAUACCGCAUACGUCCUGAGGGAGAAAGUGGGGGAUCUUCGGACCUCACGCUAUCAGAUGAGCCUAGGUCGGAUUAGCUAGUUGGUGGGGUAAAGGCCUACCAAGGCGUCGAUCCGUAACUGGUCUGAGAGGAUGAUCAGUCACACUGGAACUGAGACACGGUCCAGACUCCUACGGGAGGCAGCAGUGGGGAAUAUUGGACAAUGGGCGAAAGCCUGAUCCAGCCAUGCCGCGUGUGUGAAGAAGGUCUUCGGAUUGUAAAGCACUUUAAGUUGGGAGGAAGGGCAGUAAGUUAAUACCUUGCUGUUUUGACGUUACCAACAGAAUAAGCACCGGCUAACUUCGUG
rnacentral:rRNA from 1 species